UACAGAGGUCUCAAGCGUUGUUCGGAUUCAUUGGGCGUAAAGGGUGCGUAGGCGGCGCGGUAAGUCGGGUGUGAAAUCUCGGAGCUUAACUCCGAAACUGCAUUCGAUACUGCCGUGCUUGAGGACUGGAGAGGAGACUGGAAUUUACGGUGUAGCGGUGAAAUGCGUAGAUAUCGUAAGGAAGACCAGUGGCGAAGGCAGUGGUCUGGGCCGAAACUGACGCUGAGGAGCGAAAGCGUGGGUAGCGAACAGG
rnacentral:rRNA from 1 species